rnacentral:rRNA from 1 species
AUACGGAGGAUGCGAGCGUUAUCCGGAUUUAUUGGGUUUAAAGGGAGCGUAGGUGGGAUAUUAAGUCAGCUGUGAAAGUUUUGGGCUCAACCUUAAAAUUGCAGUUGAUACUGGUUUCCUUGAGUACGGUACAGGUGGGCGGAAUUCGUGGUGUAGCGGUGAAAUGCUUAGAUAUCACGAAGAACUCCGAUCGCGAAGGCAGCUCACCGGGCCGGAACUGACACUGAUGCUCGAAAGUGCGGGUAUCAAACAGGAUUAGAUACCCUGGUAGUCCGCACAGUAAACGAUGAAUACUCGCUGUUUGCGAUACACGGUAAGCGGCCAAGCGAAAGCGUUAAGUAUUCCACCUGGGGAGUACGCCGGCAACGGUGAAACUCAAAGGAAUUGACGGGG